rnacentral:rRNA from 1 species
CGGAGGGUGCAAGCGUUAUCCGGAUUCACUGGGUUUAAAGGGUGCGUAGGUGGGCAAGUAAGUCAGUGGUGAAAUCUCCGGGCUUAACCCGGAAACUGCCAUUGAUACUAUUUGUCUUGAAUACUGUGGAGGUCAGCGGAAUAUGUCAUGUAGCGGUGAAAUGCUUAGAUAUGACAUAGAACACCAAUUGCGAAGGCAGCUGGCUACACAAAUAUUGACACUGAGGCACGAAAGCGUGGGGAUCAAACAGGAUUAGAUACCCUGGUAGUCCACGCCCUAAACUGUGGAUACUCGACAUUUGCGAUAAACUGCAAGUGUCUGAGCGAAAGCAUUAAGUAUCCCACCUGGGAAGUACGAUCGCAAGAUUG